AGACCCUUUCCAACUGCUGUGGUAGCAAAUCCAGGAAGCAGUACUCAAGCAAGGCUUUCCAAGCACCAUCUUAGCUAAUAAAUUUCCUCAUCUUUUCAAACAGCAAAACAUGAAAAAACAAGUUUUGCUUUUCUUCAUCAGUCUUGUACUACUAACUGCUUUUUGUUCUCUGACC
rnacentral:lncRNA from 12 species